AUAUUCACUUCUUGAAAAAAUGAAGACUUUUCAAUUUUACAACAACUUGAAAGAAUAUCUUUUACGGGAAGAAUUUAGCAACAAUUUAACGGUCAGAGAGCGAAGUGAAAUACGACGUGUGUCCGUGAAUUUUAUGAUUAAAGUCCAUCAUCCGUGCCCUGGCUGCUCUACAGGGUGUAUCAGGACAGGAGGCAGAAGACUUAUUUCUUGGUGGCCCAGAAUACAGUAUCAGUGAAGUGGAAGAAUUUAACCGAAAGAUAGGGCAGCAAUUAAAGGAGGAGGGAAUGCUGUGAUAUCUGUUAGAAUAG